rnacentral:rRNA from 1 species
CCUACGGGAGGCAGCAGUGGGGAAUAUUGGACAAUGGGGGCAACCCUGAUCCAGCCAUGCCGCGUGUGUGAAGAAGGCCCUCGGGUUGUAAAGCACUUUCAGUGAGGAAGAACGCCUGGUGGUUAAUACCCAUCAGGAAAGACAUCACUCACAGAAGAAGCACCGGCUAACUCCGUGCCAGCAGCCGCGGUAAUACGGAGGGUGCGAGCGUUAAUCGGAAUUACUGGGCGUAAAGCGCGCGUAGGUGGCUUGAUAAGCCGGUUGUGAAAGCCCCGGGCUCAACCUGGGAACGGCAUCCGGAACUGUCAAGCUAGAGUGUAGGAGAGGAAGGUAGAAUUCCCGGUGUAGCGGUGAAAUGCGUAGAGAUCGGGAGGAAUACCAGUGGCGAAGGCGGCUUUCUGGACUGACACUGACACUGAGGUGCGAAAGCGUGGGUAGCAAACAGGAUUAGAUACCCUUGUAGUC